ACAGUGGAGCUUUCUGGGAGAGAUACCGAUCCCAGAAAUUUAUGUUUUCUGGUAUGAUGUAAAAGCAUGUUUAUUUGUGCUACGUGCGUGAGAAUGGUCACUGCUGCCUUGGUGUGCGCUUACGUGCACGUAGAGAAUGAAAGAAAGGAAGAAUUUUGCCUGAACUGCACGAUGUUAUGCCUUUUCCUGAUGCCAGUGGCUUUGAGUGGGGGCCCUGAUCUCCCAAACACUUUGGUUUUCUUACGUUCCCCAAUUCUGAAAACCUGUCAAGCAUACAGCCAGGGAGGGUUAGAGAGCACUUACUCCAGUUUCAAGCAGAAGAGAAUCUUAAAACUUCAAGGAUCAGAACACCAGAGCAUCUUCAUUGACAAGUCAGCGCUUCCUGUAACAGAAGGAUAUAAAUCUGUGCCAUAAGGAGUGGAAGAAGAAAAAAUAUUUAACUGUUAUGUGACUGUAACAGUUACAAUGACCAUCUGUAUAAAUAGUAUACGUGAAGCAACUUUCCAAGAUGACCCUCCAAGGAGUGCACGAAAGAGCUCUGGAGAGCUUGAGGGUGGAGAGGUGAGGAAAAGAAUUGCUCCGUCUUGCAGCUGCAGAUGUGAGGCAUGGAGGUUAAAGGCCAGAUCUGAAACAGAUUUAGGCCUAUGCAAAACAAGAUGCCCCAAGACAUGUUUCCUCAUGGGGGCCAGAGCCAGCAUGGCUGAACAGCUCUCCCAGAGGGACCUGCUUUGCUGCAGGAAGAUGCUGCCCAGGACAGUAACAUUUCUGUUACUAGAGCUAAGAGAGGGGCAGCUUGCCCUGAGGAGCACCCUAUCUUGCCGUGGGCUGAGCCCGUGACCUGACUGCACAUGUUGUGAUACCUCUUCCCCUGGGGCUACUCUGCGUGCCAGGUGGCUGUGAACCACACUGUGGGUGCCAAGCAUCUCUACAGGUGGAGAAAAAUCCCAGGGAAGGAGGGUAAAAGCACAGAUUUCUGCAAGAAUGCAUGCUGUUCCCUACCCAUUUCAUGCAUCCUGCUCUGCAGCCCAAUCAAAACCCCACUUAGGAGGAACAGUGCUAAUCCUGGAUCUCUUGUUCCUACCAGCAUGCAUCAACCAGUUGGGCUGCUGCUGAUGUGGGGAGGCACAGCUCUACCUUCUUUGCUCCUGAGCACUUUCUGCUGCUGGCUUUGCUUGUCUACUUGCUGUUUAUAGUAAGGACUCAUUAGAGAUGUAAACUCAUUAAUCAUACCCAAGCCACACUUCCCUGGUUCCACUUAUAGUGUCUUCCCUCUCUAUUCCUUUUCACAGCUCCCACCUUAGUCAGUACUCAGUUCUUGGCAUCUGGGCUUUGUUUUUAUUUAAGCUUGGAACUGAUAAAGCAUGAGAAAAGGGGAAAAUUCAGAAAGGCAGACCAAUAUAAUAAGCAAAGUGUAUGCAGGGUACAUUUAAUGUUAGACUACUUGGCCUAAAGUGUAUGGGCAGAAGACUGGCAGCAAAGAUAUUGCAUUAAUUGAAAUAGAGACCAUUUACCCUAAAAAGUUAAAAGGCACAGGACAUACAAACAGGAGCCCUUUCAUCCUCUUGGGACUUCUUGUGUCCUGCCAGCAGCCGAGAUUGCUUUCCUGCCCUUAGCACUGGUCAGUCCAGUGCUGAUCCUCGGCCACCAGCCUGGCUGGGAGUCCCAUGGGCAGCCCACAAGAGGAGGGGAAGCGAUGUGAAAUCUAAAAGUCUCUGCAGAGGUAUUUAGGUGCCUGAAGGUGCAGAGAGGUACUUAGUAGCCUUUUGGAAAUUCCUCAGGAGAUUGGAGGGAGAGGGGAGGAAAAUUCCCAUCUCGGGGAUUGAGUUUGAAGAGCCUGACCCACCUCGAGGCCUUGGAAAACCUCACCAGGCACCUCUCUUCAUGUC